rnacentral:misc_RNA from 1 species
GAACUAUGUUAUACUGCAAGCACAAGAAGACAAAGCAACAACUGAUUAUGGCUUUUUAUGAUGUCAUAUUGACAUUUGCCUCUAAUUUUGGAUUUGUUGAUUUAAAAUAGAUGAAUUUUGUAUGCCUAGAGAAUGACGGAUAAGGUAGGUUUAGCUGGCAAAAGAACCUGUUUGGCAAGAUUGGUGAAGCUGAAAUGUCCUGAUAAUGUGGCUAUGGCACAAAGGUUGAAUUUAUGUUGUCAAACUGUUGAAAUACUAAUUCAACUAAUUAUGACUUUUGACAGCAGAAAAUAUUAUGGGAAAACUCAGAGGAAACAUGUGCAGUAAUUUGGAACAAAGUGAUCAAGAAGGUUGGUUUAUGAAGUAAUAAUUAACUUUAGGAGGUUGAAGCAUGAUAUUGAUCUUGAGAGAUGAUGGAAACUUCUUGUUCGCUUACAGAAAUCAUUCAGUUAUGGAAAUUUUACGGAAAAGUAUAAAUAGCUGAUUCGGUAAUGGAUAAGCGUGUUCUUGUGCAUACCCAAGUGUUUGUAUCACAUAAAACUUUGAUAUCAAGAUUUGAUAUUGAGGAAUUAUAGUUUUAAUUUUUGAGUAGAGUUGUUAGAUAUUAACAAAAAUGGUAGGAUUAUGUAGUGAUUUUAUGCUUUGAUUUAGUGCUAGGAUUGUGCAGGGUUGAUUGGCUAGUGCUAGGGUUGUGCAGUAACUGUAGGAUUGAUUGAUUGUGUUUCCAGACUUGUUGUAUUUAUGACAUUAUAUAAAUCCAAUUAGCUUGAGGGAAUAAUCA